AUGGUAAGCACUUCUGAGUCUGACAACCUGAUGUGGUCUGGUAGUAUAGCUGUAGAACAGAUCUCGAGGCAGAAAUUGUAUGGUUAUCCAUGGGGUGGUAUAGGCAGCCACCAGGGGCAAAUAAUCCAGACUCAUUUAGCAUGUUUUGAAACUUUAUCAUUCCUCCAUAUGUUUGUUCUUAUUGGGGUUUCUUACCCUUUAGGCCUUGUUUGGUUAAUCCUCUCCCCAAGGCGAUUGGAGGGGAUUUUGUAUUGUAGGGGAUUUAAUCCCCCUCAAUCCCUGCCAACCCCCGUAAAAUCCACCUCAACCGAACAAAGCCUUAAAGGCUUUGUUUGGUUACUAGGGAUCUAA
rnacentral:rRNA from 1 species